CACAAGCGGUGGAGCAUGUGGUUUAAUUUCGAUGAUACGCGAGGAACCUUACCUGGGCUCAAAUGUAUGUUGACGUAUUCUGAAAGGGAUACUUCUUCGGACAAUAUACAAGGUGCUGCAUGGUUGUCGUCAGCUCGUGCCGUGAGGUGUCGGGUUAAGUCCCAUAACGAGCGCAACCCCUAUCAUUAGUUGCCAUCAGGUCAAGCUGGGGACUCUAAUGAAACUGCCUACGCAAGUAGUGAGGAAGGUGGGGAUGACGUCAAAUCAGCACGGCCCUUACGUCCAGGGCUACACACGUGCUACAAUGGCCGGUACAAAGGGCAGCUACCUGGUGACAGGAUGCUAAUCUCAAAAGCCGGUCUCAGUUCGGAUCGGAGUCUGCAACCCGACUCCGUGAAGCUGGAAUCGCUAGUAAUCGUGAAUCAGAAUGUCACGGUGAAUACGUUCCCGGGCCUU
rnacentral:rRNA from 1 species